AUUGAACGCUGGCGGCAUGCCUUACACAUGCAAGUCGAACGGCAGCACGGGAGCAAUCCUGGUGGCGAGUGGCGAACGGGUGAGUAAUAUAUCGGAACGUGCCCAGUCGUGGGGGAUAACGUAGCGAAAGCAACGCUAAUACCGCAUAGGACCAAUGGAUGAAAGCGGGGGACGGCAAGACCUCGCGCGAUUGGAGCGGCCGAUAUCAGAUUAGGUAGUUGGGGAGGUAAAGGCUCACCAAGCCGACGAUCUGUAGCGGAUCUGAGAGGACGACCAGCCACACUGGGACUGAGACACGGCCCAGACUCCUACGGGAGGCAGCAGUGGGGAAUUUUGGACAAUGGGCGCAAGCCUGAUCCAGCAAUGCCGCGUGCAGGAUGAAGGCCUUCGGGUUGUAAACUGCUUUUGUACGGAACGAAACGGCGAGCUCUAAUACAGUUUGCUAAUGACGGUACCGUAAGAAUAAGCACCGGCUAACUACGUGCCAGCCGCCGCCGUAAAAC
rnacentral:rRNA from 1 species